UACGGGGGGAGCAAGCGUUGUUCGGAUUUACUGGGCGUAAAGGGCGCGUAGGCGGCCAGCGCAAGUCAGUUGUGAAAUCUCCGGGCUUAACUCGGAAAGGUCAACUGAUACUGCGCGGCUAGAGUGCAGAAGGGGCAACUGGAAUUCUCGGUGUAGCGGUGAAAUGCGUAGAUAUCGAGAGGAACACCUGCGGCGAAGGCGGGUUGCUGGGCUGACACUGACGCUGAUGCGCGAAAGCUAGGGGAGCAAAGCGGGAU
rnacentral:rRNA from 1 species